UUUUGUGUAUGUUACAUCAGAACUUUUGACCGUGUGGACCGAUUUCGACAAAUUUUUUUUAAUCGAAAGGUGGUGUGUGCCAAUUGGUCCCAUUUAAAUUUAUUUGAAAUCUAACAACUACUUUUCGAGCUAUAUCUAAUAAUGCGUUUUUACUUGACACUUUUUUCGUCGACCUACGUUGUAUUAUACCGCAUAACUUUCUACUGGAUGUACCGAUUUUAAUAAUUCUUUUUUUGUUGGAAAGGGGAUAUCCUUAGUUUAGUACCAUGAUAAGGAAACCA
rnacentral:misc_RNA from 1 species